rnacentral:rRNA from 1 species
GAUGAACGCUAGCUACAGGCUUAACACAUGCAAGUCGAGGGGCAGCAUGAUUGAAGCUUGCUUCAAUCGAUGGCGACCGGCGCACGGGUGAGUAACACGUAUCCAACCUGCCGAUAACUCGGGGAUAGCCUUUCGAAAGAAAGAUUAAUACCCGAUAGCAUAGUAUUUCCGCAUGGUUUCACUAUUAAAGAAUUUCGGUUAUCGAUGGGGAUGCGUUCCAUUAGAUAGUUGGCGGGGUAACGGCCCACCAAGUCAACGAUGGAUAGGGGUUCUGAGAGGAAGGUCCCCCACAUUGG